UCUGCCGUCAGACAAUGGCCGCAGUAUGGUCCGUGUUUGAUGAAAUCGAGCCCACUGAUAUCGCAAAAUCAUCUGGUGUUGAAGAAACAUCGUUGACUGCUUAUAGGAUUUCGGAGGACGAUCUCAUCUCAGUCUUAUGGAGUUGCUGGAAGGUGUUGAUCGUCAAUUCAAAAAUCUUUGGUGGCUUCCUAAGAGAUCUAUGAUAGAUUGUUUGAAAAUUUACACUCUUUUGUGAAAAGAUAUAUGGCAGGUAACGAAACCGAGUCAUGCCAUUAAAUGUGAACGAUGAGAGCUUUGGUGCGGAGAUCACAAACUCAUAGUAAGGUCUUCUUUUCCUUUGCCAAUGGCUACGGCUUGUACAAGAAGAUCGAGGCCCGUCAUAUCCCUUAAAGCGAACACAUACUUCUCAAACAAAAGUUUUCCCUCCUCAAACAUUUUAAUUACCUGCAAGAAACCAUACAUUAAUAACCGAUUGUUCUAACUAUAGAGUAGUCAAUAGUAAACAAAGUACCUGAGUCAAACUAGCUUUACACUCGUCGGUCACAUUAGAAAGCAAUCGAGACAAAAGCUCUUGCAGCCUCCACCCUCUGAAAAUCUUUUUUCCAGGAAGUGACUUCUUAAUUCUUUUUUUUGAUACAUUGACCAGUUUUGGUGUUCACUGCUUCUAUAAAACUUCCCAUAGUAAUACGAUAUAACAUUUGGCAUAUCUUUAUCCCCCAUGAACUUGUUCACAACGCGAAGAUUCUUGCCGAAUAUAUAAAACCAAGAAUAAAACUAUCAUGUUCAAUCGCGCUCCAACAUUCUUCACUUGAUGAACAAGGAACUGAAACCAAACCGUUGUUUGUAUUACAACCUACAUUACAAAACUCACCCUUUCUCCCAAUUUCCCACCAAACCCUUCACCUUUCUCACGGAUUCUCCCCCAAAUCGGUUCAUUCUCAUCAAUUUCACCAAAUUCUCCUCUAAAUCGAUAAAUCCGCCGACCCACCCCUUCAUCGAUCAAGAUGAAGUCACUUCGAGUUGAAAUCAAGUCACGGAUAAAGACGACGAACACGAAGACAAUGGCGGUGAUGAUGACAUGAUGUAGCUUUACACGUUUUAUGCAAUGUUAUGAUGUUAAUAUGUGAAUUAAAUGAAUAACGUUUAAGUAGUUUUAGGAUGUUUAUAUAAUUACUAUCUUUAUGUAGUCUGUUUGUGAGUUGCGAAGAAAAACUGGAAAUUGGCAGGUUUUGUGAA